UGCAAGUCCACCUCCAAGCAUAUAAGCCAGCUCUGUCAUUCACUCUCUGCUCCACCAUGAGCUCUGAUGGCCUGCAUCGACUCGUGACCACCGGAGCUUCUUGGACACGACUCUGCCCUCGUACCCCUGCCGGUUCCUGUAUGGGUUUCCUACCUACCCCUUCAGCCGAGUUUCUUCCCGUUCCCUUCCUCCCUGAAUCUUCCACCUGCCUGCAGUCUGAUUGCAGCAAUGAGAAUCAGCUGCCGUAAUUGGCUCACACCAGUCACCUGUUUGCAAGUCCACCUCCAAGCAUAUAAGCCAGCUCUGUCAUUCACUCUCUGCUCCACCAUGAGCUCUGAUGGCCUGCAUCGACUCGUGACCACCGGAGCUUCUUGGACACGACUCUGCCCUCGUACCCCUGCCGGUUCCUGUUUGGGUUUCCUACCUACCCCUUCAGCCGAGUUUCUUCCCGUUCCCUUCCUCCCUGAAUCUUCCACCUGCCUGCAGUCUGAUUGCAGCAAUGAGAAUCAGCUGCCGUAAUUGACUCACACCAGUCACCUGUUUGCAAGUCCACCUCCCAGCAUAUAAGCCAGCUCUGUCAUUCACUCCCUGCUCCACCAUGGACGCGCACAUCCUGCGUCGACUCGUGACCACCGGAGCUUCUUGGACACGACUCUGCCCUCGUACCCCUGCCGGUUCCUGUUUGGGUUUCCUACCUACCCCUUCAGCCGAGUUUCUUCCCGUUACCAUCUGCUACAAAGCAUUACCGGGUAACAAAUACACCUGAUGAAGAUCAGAAAUAUUCAAGCAGGAACCUUCAGCUUCCACGAAGGUGGAAGUCAUUCUGCCAUGAAGACCUAACAACCUUCAAAGACAAUUUGAAAAUGGGUAAGAAAUGAAAGCACACACUGUUUAGUCUAGACCAUCAUUUGUGCUGACAUCUGUGCUUUUAGAUUCUAUCAAGACGGGGGGAAAAAAAAAAAAAAAACGGGACAAGUGUAGUCUUGUGUGAAAUACAUCACCUGCUUAAGUGUGACUGGCUGGAUUUUGAACUGAC